rnacentral:rRNA from 1 species
AUGAUACGCGAGACUACUGGCUUAAUGGGGAGUGACAGCUGUCGAAAGAUGGUUUUCUUCGGACACUCUUCAAAGUGCUGCAUGGUUGUCGUCAGCUCGUGCCGUGAGGUGUCGGGUUAAGUCCCAUAACGAGCGCAACCCUUACCGUUAGUUACCAUCAGGUUAAGCUGGGGACUCUAGCGGGACUGCCACCGUAAGGUGAGAGGAAGUGGGGAUGACGUCAAAUCAGCACGGCCCUUAUGUCCAGGGCUACACACGUGUUACAAUGGCCAGUACAAAGGGCAGCUACCGGGUGACCGGAUGCUAAUCUCUAAAGCUGGUCUCAGUUCGGAUCGAAGUCUGCAACCCGACUUCGUGAAGCUGGAUUCGCUAGUAAUCGCGCAUCAGCCAUGGCGCGGUCGAAUACGUUCCCGGGCCUU